rnacentral:sRNA from 1 species
UAGAUAAGAAGUUAGAGCCUUGAUCGGU